AGAGAGCCCUAUUUAGGCUUUCUUUAUUGCAAGUUCUGUUUAAUUAAGAUUUUCUUAUCCCUGCUAUGUUAAUAGCUUGCUAGACCCUGCAAGAGCCUCCUGUAUGUGAUUAAAGUUCAAUUUAGAGAUUGAGAUACAAUGAUUUAAGGUAAAUUACAUCUGUUUGAAAGUGAAACCAGUUUUUUUUUCAUGCAGGCUCUGUCAAUCAUAGCCAGGGGAGAUGUGGCUAAGGCUGCAUAAACAGAAACAAAGUGAUUUGACUCCUAAAUGACAGUGAAUUGAG